rnacentral:rRNA from 1 species
CGGGGUGCACCAGGCGCGAAAACUUUACAAUGCUGGCAACAGCGAUAAGGGGACCUUGAGUGCCAGGAUACAAUCCUGGCUGUCGUGAUGCCUAAAAAGCAUUAUAUAGCAAGGGCCGGGCAAGACCGGUGCCAGCCGCCGCGGUAACACCGGCGGCUCGAGUGGUAACCGCUAUUAUUGGGUCUAAAGGGUCUGUAGCCGGCUUGGUUAGUCUCUUGGGAAAUCCGGCAGCUUAACCGUCGGGCUUUCAGGAGAUACUGCCAGGCUCGAGACCGGGAGAGGUGAGAGGUACUUCAUGGGUAGGGGUGAAAUCUUGUAAUCCUUGAAGGACCACCAGUGGCGAAGGCGUCUCACCAGAACGGAUCUGGCGGCAAGGGACGAAAGCUAGGGGCACGAACCGGAUUAGAUACCCGGGUAGUCCUAGCCGUAAACGAUACUCGCUAGGUGUCGGCCACGGUGCGACCGUGGUCGGUGCCAUAGGGAAGCCGCGAAGCGAGCCACCUGGGAAGUACGGCCGCAAGGCUGAAACUUAAA